rnacentral:rRNA from 1 species
UGCCAGCAGCCGCGGUAAUACGGAGGGGGUUAGCGUAGUUCGGAAUUACUGGGCUUAAAGAGCUCGUAGGUGGUUAGAAUAGUUGGUGGUGAAAUCCCAAGGCUUAACCUUGGAACUGCCGCCAAAACUUUUUGACUAGAGUAUGAUAGAGGUAAGUGGAAUUUCUAGUGUAGAGGUGAAAUUCGUAGAUAUUAGAAAGAACACCAAUUGCGAAGGCAACUUUCUGGAUCAUUACUGACACUGAGGAGCGAAAGCAUGGGUAGCGAAGAGGAUUAGAUA